UACGGAGGGGGGCUAGCGUUGUUCGGAAUUACUGGGCGUAAAGCGCACGUAGGCGGCUUUGUAAGUUAGAGGUGAAAGCCCAGGGCUCAACCCUGGAAUUGCCUUUAAGACUGCAUCGCUAGAAUUGUGGAGAGGUAAGUGGAAUUCCGAGUGUAGAGGUGAAAUUCGUAGAUAUUCGGAAGAAACACCAGUGGCGAAGGCGACUUACUGGACACAUAUUGACGCUGAGGUGCGAAAGCGUGGGGAGCAAACAGG
rnacentral:rRNA from 1 species